UUUGCUGAGAGCCCAUACGAGAAGGUUUUCUUGAAUAAAUACUGCAAAGAAUACACUUCAACUACAGCAGCCUAUAAAUUUGGAGGAUUGGGAUUUGUCAGUGCCUAAAACUUCUUAUUUUGGACAAUUUACUUUUACAAAAAGUUAAUAGUUGUCUUUUCAAAGUACAUUAGUAUCUAUUUUAGUUUUGCAUACUCAUGUUUGGUUUCAUGCUCUAUGAUUUUGCAGGUUUUUCAAAAAGACGAUCCAAUGGCAAAAGACUUUUCUGAAGCAAUUUUAACACUGGCAGAAAAUGGAAAAUUAAAAGAUUUGGAAAAUAUAUGGUUAACACCUUCCAAUAAAUGCUCAAACAACUCACCAUCUCCAGAAGAAACUGAGAGUCUGACUCUUGACAAAUUUUGGGGACUCUAUGUCAUAUGUGCUGCCACAUCCACCAUCUGCUUACUACUAGCUUUGUUGAAGAAGCGUUUACGUAACCAUAACCACUAUGAAGAAGCUGAUCAACUUCCUCAAGGAAGUGUAAUCUCCGAAUCUGAUGAUGAUAAUAAUAAUAAUUCUCAGAGAGCAAUUAGAGUUGGUACAGGUUUAAACAUUGAGAAUCUCAUUAAAUUAAAUAAAUCUGCAACUUUUGGUGGACGUGUAAAAGAAGGUGUACGUCGUAGAAAUUCACCAAAAUUGGAGAGUAUAAGCAUUUCUGAUGAACAGGGCGAUCUUCCUCACUCCCAAUCAGCUGCCAUGCCAUAGAAAUGAUAUAAUUCAUAUUAUGUAAUAGCUAACCAUAUACAUUCCAACUUUUAUGUGUUUAAUUUUAACAAUUGUAGUAGUAGCAAUUAUGAAAACCCUAUAGUAAUUUUAACACAAAUAUAUGUAUUUUAAAGUUAGUAUCUAAUGUGAUUCGUUUCAUCAGUCUCCUCCUGAAAAACAUGCAAUAUCAUCAGUUCUUCACCUCACUAUAUAUGAUUCAGUAUGGGAAAAAAGUUCUUCCUACAAUAAGCGCAAUGCUGCACUUGCAAAAUUCAACUAUUACAAUGUAUGGUCAAGAGACAUUUUAAAUUUCUUGCACAAGGGAUUAUAUAUCACUCUACAUUUGUCUUCAUUCUCAGCCAUCUAUUUUGAGGUAUACAUCUUUAUUUUUAUGUAAUUAAAGUAUGACAUUUCACAAAGGUACUAAAAAAUGAUAAAUAUAAGGCUGAUAAUUGCAGGACAAUCAUUUUCACAUAUUUUAACAUUGAGUAUGCAUGUUGAAUUAUAUGACCAGUUCCUCCGGGGGAAUGUAUAUACUUACAAAUUUUCAGACUCAAAUUUCCUAUUCAGAUUCUAAAGUCAUUUAUUAUGAUCUAUUGUCCUAAAUUUUGUGGCCACAUAUCAAAGCCUAAAUGUCAUUAGUUUGAGGUCCACUUCUCAUAGCUGGCCAAUCCAACAAGAAUCUGUGUUUCCAAGAAGCAUCCAUUUUUGAUGAUCUUUCAACUUAUCUCUAGAAAUGACAUAAAAUUAACACUAAAUGAAAUUAAGAUUACCAUUUUGACUGGAUCAACUUAUCUCUAGUUGAUUUAAAGACGUUAUUUUCUGAUUUUUUAUUUUAUAAUUCAAUAAAUUAAACUUGAAUCUAGACCAUCUGAUUUUGAACAGACUACCAUCAUUUUGAAUGUGUGGAUGCAGGAAAUCCCGACAGCAAGGAAUCCUAAAUUUCAAAUCUUUUAGAAGACUUACAUCCUAAAUUUAGAAAAUAUAAUCUUUUGUCCUAUCAUACACUUGUGUGUCGGUAUGAGACAAUAAGCACGCGUUCUUACAUGUGGCACGAGAGUGUUUGUCAUUUUUGAAGUAUGAAUUCAUAUUUCUAUCAACUACUUAGUAUUCUUAAUUUUAUUUUGAAUGCGGAUCAAACUCUCCACCUCUCUAUCGCUCCACUUUUUGUCUCCUAAAUUCCAACUAUCAAACCACCCUUACUCUUACUUGGAUUUAACAUUAGUUUUUCCCUAAUAGGUUUUCCAAUAAGCAGAUAAAACUUAGGUGUAAUGCUGCACAUAUUUUGGUCUUAUUGUUCCUCAUACAAAAGUACAGCUUUUAUUUAAUUAAGGAGACUUUUAGAACAAUAAUCCGGCUUAACAGAGUAAAGAAACAAUAGACGCAAACAAUGAGCACGCUGUAUGCUAACAAAGUUUGGCUAAUAUUAAUUACACCCUGAACUACAUUUUCUUUUUAUUACCUCUAAACUGUACCGCAGAUGACUUCCAACCCCACAAAAAAUGAUUGGACCAAGCCUAAGGACAUGUUUCUCUUGCUUUCCUCAAUAGACCCUUUCCGCUUAUCAACAACUAUGAAUCAUAUUCAACAUUGACAAUUUCUAUCGCAUCUAACAUAAUUUGUGACAGUUCUACUCUAUUUUUAGUGAAUAAUAUUAAGAGCAGUGUCUAAACUCUAGAGCACUGUUUCUAAGUUUUCACCAUCUCUAAAUCCAAGAUUUAUCCCAUCUAACAAAUCGUUGAUCCUUACAAUUACUUUUCCCUCCCUUAUGAGGUGUUAUGACUAGCCUUCCUUCUAAUAACUCAGCAACUUGCAAGCCUUGCUUAUUCUCUUCUUAUACCCAACUUUGUCUCCAAGUAUGGAGUCAACAUCAUAAUUGACAAAGUCAAACAUUAAAUUUCCAUGAAACAACCAAAGUAACUCCAAAAAUCCUCGGCAUUGAGUAAUAUUAAUUCCUCUAGGUAAUCAUGUAAUAUAUAGGCAGCUAGUCCCUGCACAGUUUCCAACAAAGGCUAGUAGAUUAUGUGAGCAAAAGAUAUUGCAGCAAAAUGCAUUGCCUUUCAACUAUUCCUCAAGCACUAGCAAGAGUUUGGCUAUUCUUUUUCUUACUCACUCCUUCUGUUCUCAUUUUUGGUUUCCGAGAUGAGACAAACAAAGUUAUAUCCAUUGGGGUGACCAUUGAUGUUAAUUCUCGUAUUGGGAAAGAACAAGAAGUAGCCAUGGAAAUUGCAGCCCAGAAAUACAACAUCGCUUCAAAGGAAUACAACCUGGCUCUCUAUUUUCAGAACUCUGCCAAGGAUACCCUCAGGGCCAUCACACUUGGUUAGUACAUCUAGUAUUUUUUGAGAAAAAAAACAUUAAACUUUCUUACAUGUGUAUAAUGAAGCAUGUGAGAUCUUUAAUUGCAGCUGAAGAGAUGAUUAAGGUGCAAAAGGUGCAAGUGAUUAUAGGGAUGCACACAUGGCCAGAAGCAGGUAUAGUAGCUGAAAUAGGAAGCAAAGCUCAAGUUCCUAUCAUAUCCUUUGCAGCACCUACCAUAAUGCCACCAUUGAUGAAAACUCGAUGGCCUUUUCUGGUGGGACAAGCAAACAAAGGUACAUCAUAUAUAAAAUGCAUUGCAGACAUAGUGCAGGCAUAUAGCUGGAAAAGAGUAGUAGUAAUCUACGAAGAUGACGGGUACGGGGGAGAUUAUGGGAUGCUAGCUCUGCUAGCUGAGGCCCUUCAGGAUGUGGAUUCAAUGAUUGAACACCGCUUAGUCCUUCCCCCAAUCUCUUCUAUACAUGAUCCAGGAGAGUUAGUUAGUGAAGAGAUGAUUAAGUUAAAACAAGCACAAUCUCGGGUGUUCAUAGUGCUGCAAUCAUCGUUAGAAAUGACAAUCCAUUUGUUCAAAGAAGCUUCAAAAGUUGGACUGGUGGGUAAAGAAUCAGUUUGGAUAAUCCCAGAGAGCGUAACAAAUUUGAUGGACUCUGUCGAUAAAUCUGCUAUUUCCUAUAUGGAAGGAGCUUUAGGAAUUAAAGCCUACUACUCAGAGAGAAGCAAGGAUUAUCAAGACUUUGAGGCUCAGUUCAGGAGAACUUUUUGGUUAAAGAAUCCAGAGGAAGAUAACCGAUACCCAGGAUUUUAUGCUCUACAAGCAUAUGAUAGCAUUAAUAUUGUAACUCAAGCAAUCGACAGAAUGACCAGUAGAAACAAUAGCAGCCCAAAGAGUUUGCUAAGAGAAAUACAGUCUAGCAAUUUCGUUGGUUUGAGUGGCCAUAUUCAACUUGAAGAUGAACAACUCAUGCAGAAGAAUCUUGUAUUAAGAAUUGUAAAUGUGGCUGGGAAGAGUUACAAGGAAUUAUGCUUUUGGACUCAACAACAUGGCUUCACAACAGUCCUCCAUACCGGACAAGGUGGAAACAAGGUUGCUGGAAAUACAGAAUGUUUCAGGGGUGUACGCUGGCCUGGGAAUUUGGACCGCGAUCCAAAGGGGUGGAACAUGCCUACCAAACAAUAUCCAUUGAAAAUUGCAGUCAGAAGCAGAACCUCGUUUUACAAGUUUGUCAAGGUUGAGUAUGGCCAUAAUGGAAAGGAUGAUAAAUAUAGUGGAUUUUGCAUUGACAUUUUCGAGCAAGUACAGAAACUUCUGGGGUACGAUCUUCCAUAUAAAUAUCAUGCCAUCAAUGGAACCUAUAACGAUUUGGUUCAGCUUGUCUAUAACAAGGUAUUAAAUCUAUUUUUCUUUGAAAUCAAAUGUUUAAUUUUGGUUUCUAUGAUUAUCAUUGUCCUCCCUAUCAAAUAUGACAAAGAUACUUAUAGUUAGCGAUUAGGAAUAACUAAUAAUAUGUACUAAAUGCAACUUAAUUACUUUGAAAUUUGAGAAACAAUAUUUUUUUAUUUAUUGAUUACGAUUUUUUGUUUAUGUGUGGUUAAACAAUAAUGGAAGACUUUUGAUGCUGUUAUUGGAGACAUGACCAUAAUAGAGGAAAGAUUGAAGUAUGUGGAUUUUACAGUGCCAUAUGCAGAAUCAGGAUUGUCAAUGAUAGUUCCAAUGAAGUCUGGAGAAUCAGCAUGGAUGUUUAUGAAGCCAUUUACCUGGGAAUUGUGGCUGGUUACAGAUGCAAUCUUGAUUUACACAAUGUUAGUUGUUUGGUAUCUUGAGAGAGAACCCAACCCAGAGUUCCAUGGAAACUGGAAGCUCCAGCUCAGCACAGCCUUUUGGUUUACUUUUUCCUCUCUGUUCUUUGCUCAUAGUGAGUAUCAAUCUCAAACUUCCUUGUCAUUUUGAUGCAAAAUAACAAUAUGAAAAAACAUAUAAUC
rnacentral:lncRNA from 1 species